rnacentral:lncRNA from 1 species
CGGCCGCCGCCGGAACCUGCAAGGGAAGUCUAAACCGGAGUUGGGGGUGCUCCGGCAAGACCCUCCGACGCUCAAGUCAGUACUCUGCUUCAACAGAAAUGGAGUGCUCGAGGAAAAAUUUUAGCAGAGUUUUGAGAUAGAGAUCAGAGCUUAGAGAAGAACGUAUCCGAGGGUCCUUAUUUAUAGACGGAGAGUGUAACCGAUUGACAGCUACGUCUGUAACCGUCUGGUAGUGGGCUGUUCAGAGCCGUUUGGAGUUUGUUACGGAGAGUAGUGGCAUCAGGGGUCGUUCAGGACCACGUGGAGUUGGUUACGGAGAGUGGAGUGGUGGCCGUUGUCGCGACUUGCCAGAGAGUAGUGGAGCCACAUGGAAUCCGUUGCAGAGUGGAGCAGGGUAGCGGCCCUCGUCGUGGCUUGCCAAAGAGUUCGGAUCUGUCAGCUGAAGCUCGGCUGGGAUGUCUGAUGGAGCGGAAUGGCUCUCUGUCUCGUCGAUCCAGGAGAAGCUCGGACGUUUUCGAGAUCGCUGACGAGUCUACUAUGGUCGGAGGCCUUGGGCACUGAGGUUACAGGUGAUAACCAUCUGCUGUAGAGACUCGGAUGAAGACUUUCAGUUGGCGAAGUCCGAUAGGAGCCUAAUUGCUAGGGAAGUCCAUCUGGGAUCUGGCUAUGAAGAAGCCUGGCUGAAGUCUACCUGUACUGGAAGUUCGGAAGAAAUCUGUUUACAGUAGAGGCCCGAAUGGAAUUUGCUUACAGUAGAGAUCCGGGGUAGAUCGCCCGCUGUAGGGGUUCGGAGUAGACCGCUCGUGGCAGGAGUUCGGAGAAGACCACUCGUAGUAGAAGCUUGGCUCUCGCAGGAGCUCGGCUGGAACUGCUCGUAGUAGAAGCUCGGAGUAGAUCGCUCGGCUUUGGGGACGGCUCGGU